rnacentral:lncRNA from 1 species
GGGGCCAAGGGUAAGGGAGGAUAUAAUAUGGAUGAGAAGCUAUAAACCAAAAGAAAUAGAGGAGCAAUGGGGAACAAGUGUAAACACAGUCAAACACACCUCAAACCUCUAAUUCAAUCCUCUUCUUGACUCCAUCAUUCACACAAUUUUUUUUUUCUCAUUUUUCUGUAUUUUUUUUUCAUUUCUCAUCUUGUUCCUUUUCUUUUUUCUCUUUUUUCU